GCCUUUGUGGUGGAAUGGUAGACACUCAUGACUUAAAAUCAUGUGCUUUUAGCGUGCCGGUUCAACUCCGGCCAAAGGUA
rnacentral:tRNA from 1 species